CUGAGGGACAAGUUCUGUCCCAGUGCCAGAGCUCAGUCCAACUCUAUAGUUAAUCAUGGGACAUACUUAGAAGAUCAGAGGAAGUCAGGUCACUGAAAGGCAGAAUAAUCAUAUUUUUGAUUUUUGAAAUGUGAUUUAUGGUCAGAGAUAAGCAGAAGAGAAAAAUAGAUAUCUGAAAAUCAUAAAUCCCAACGUAUCACCUUUGGCACAGGAAUUUAAGACCAAGAAGACUUCAGGGUUGUUACAAGGAAUACUUAAAACACUGACUGCAUGAAACAUAGCACAUGAUUUAUGGUUUAGAUGGGAGGUUGUAUUGGUUUGCUAGGGUUACCAUAGCAACAACAUACGAUAAACAAUAUCAUAGUCCUACAGUGGGCUAAAUGCACCACUGCUUUCCUCUGGGCUAAGCUAACACAGAUGAUGUUACCAUAUCAUGAGAUGAACUGUGUCUCCAAGCUUCCAACACUGGAGCAAUUCACUACAUAGUCUAUUUGGGGACAGGUAUUUACAGAAGUACUUAGUCCAUAGGUGUCCCUUUCAAUGCAAAAGAUCAUAAGAUCAUAAGAAUAUCUAGGAUAUAGGCAGCUUAUGGCAGAGCAAAAGCUGGCAGAGAACACUGCCAGAGGGCAGCCAUCUUGAAGCCUAGGAGGACCCUCAAGCAAGCCACCCUGCCACACCCUAAUCUACAUUUCCAGCUUCCAGUGUCAGGGAUUUUAUACCACUCAAUUUAUUUUGUUAUGAUGAUGGUCAAGCAGGAAAAUACAUUUCUUUUUCCUCUAACAAAAUUUACUGAAAAAGGAAACCUGAAUUUUCACUUAUUUGUGAAUUUAAAGCAAGUUCUCUAAGAUGUAUUGACGGAUUAAGAAGGAGCAGUGGUUCUCAACUGUUCUAGUGCUGUGACCCUUCAAUACAGUUCUUCAGGUGAUGGUGAUCCCCAAGGCAACCCCUGUGAAAGGACCACUUGACCGCCAAAGAGUUCAUGACCCACAAGUUUGAGAACUGCUGCGCUAAGGGAUCCUACAGCCUACCUGCUGCCCAGUUCUAACCUGCUAUCGCCCAAUCCUGAUGGAAUGCAGACAUGAGGCUUGCACAUCUCUGUUUGGGCCUUCCUUUAUUUAUGUUUAUAACAUUCUUAGGGACUUGAAUCUGGUCCAGGGUUGCUGGGAAUCCAGGCUUCCAGUGCAUUACUGAGGGUAUGUAGCAAAUUCACCCUCAUGAAAGCUGAGCUCAGCAAAUGGCUAAGCCAAAGCCAUCUAGCCCCAAGCCUCCGAGUGAAUCUCAGCUCAUCCCCCUUGGAAGAUUGCUGGCAAUCAGCAGCCUUUAGAUUUAUGUAAUCCAAGUUAAAUUCAGUAAAAACCAUGCACUUGUUACAUAAA